rnacentral:rRNA from 1 species
AUACGAAGGGGGCUAGCGUUGCUCGGAAUUACUGGGCGUAAAGGGAGCGUAGGCGGACUGUUUAGUCAGAGGUGAAAGCCCAGGGCUCAACCUUGGAAUUGCCUUUGAUACUGGCAGUCUUGAGUACGGAAGAGGUAUGUGGAACUCCGAGUGUAGAGGUGAAAUUCGUAGAUAUUCGGAAGAACACCAGUGGCGAAGGCGACAUACUGGUCCGUUACUGACGCUGAGGCUCGAAAGCGUGGGGAGCAAACAGGAUUAGAAACCCCGGUAGUCC